rnacentral:rRNA from 1 species
AAUGGCCUAAAGGCUGAACCAGUAACUUGAAAGAACGAACAAUGAAUAACUUAUAUAAAGUUCUAGACAUAAAAGGAAUGAUGACUAUUUUUUGUCUAUAAGUAUUGACCAAAUUACGUGCCAGCCGUCGCGGUAAUACGUAAAAUACAAGUGUUAUUCAUCUUUAAUGGGUUUAAAGGGUACCUAGACAGAAAAUCAAGCCAUAAUAGGGACUAAUUUUCUAGAGUUUUAUAUGAGAAAGAAGAAUUGUUAGAGGAGAGAUGAAAUUCAUUAAUACUAACAAGACUGGUAACGGCGAAGGCAUUUUUCUAUGUAAAA